AUUGAACGCUGGCGGCAGGCCUAACACAUGCAAGUCGAGCGGAUGACGGGAGCUUGCUCCUUGAUUCGGCGGCGGACGGGUGAGUAAUGCCUAGGAAUCUGCCUGGUAGUGGGGGACAACGUUUCGAAAGGAACGCUAAUACCGCAUACGUCCUACGGGAGAAAGCAGGGGACCUUCGGGCCUUGCGCUAUCAGAUGAGCCUAGGUCGGAUUAGCUAGUAGGUGAGGUAAUGGCUCACCUAGGCGACGAUCCGUAACUGGUCUGAGAGGAUGAUCAGUCACACGGGAACUGAGACACGGUCCAGACUCCUACGGGAGGCAGCAGUGGGGAAUAUUGGACAAUGGGCGAAAGCCUGAUUCAGCCAUGCCGCGUGUGUGAAGAAGGUCUUCGGAUUGUAAAGCACUUUAAGUUGGGAGGAAGGGCAGUAAGUUAAUACCUUGCUGUUUUGACGUUACCGACAGAAUAAGCACCGGCUAACUCUGUGCCAGCCGCCGCCGUAA
rnacentral:rRNA from 1 species